UACAGGGGGGGCAAGCGUUGUUCGGAAUUACUGGGCGUAAAGGGUUCGUAGGUGGCUUACUAAGUCAAACGUGAAAUCCCUCAGCUUAACUGGGGAACUGCGUCUGAUACUGGAAAGCUUGAGUGCAGGAGAGGAACGCGGAAUUCCAGGUGUAGCGGUGAAAUGCGUAGAUAUCUGGAGGAACACCGGUGGCGAAGGCGACUACCUGGCCUGUUCUUGACGCUGAGGCGCGAAAGCUAGGGGAGCAAACGGG
rnacentral:rRNA from 1 species